CCUACGGGAGGCUGCAGUGGGGAAUAUUGCACAAUGGGGGAAACCCUGAUGCAGCGACGCCGCGUGAGUGAAGAAGUAUUUCGGUAUGUAAAGCUCUAUCAGCAGGGAAGAAAAUGACGGUACCUGACUAAGAAGCCCCGGCUAACUACGUGCCAGCAGCCGCGGUAAUACGUAGGGGGCAAGCGUUAUCCGGAUUUACUGGGUGUAAAGGGAGCGUAGACGGCAGCGCAAGUCUGGUGUGAAAGCCCAUGGCUGAACCAUGGAACUGCUUUGGAAACUGUGCAGCUGGAGUGUAGGAGAGGGAAGCGGAAUUCCUAGUGUAGCGGUGAAAUGCGUAGAUAUUAGGAGGAACACCAGUGGCGAAGGCGGCCUACUGGACUAUAACUGACGUUGAGGCUCGAAAGCGUGGGGAGCAAACAGGAUUAGAUACCCUAGUAGUC
rnacentral:rRNA from 1 species